rnacentral:rRNA from 1 species
UUGAAGAGUUUGAUCAUGGCUCAGAUUGAACGCUGGCGGCAGGCCUAACACAUGCAAGUCGAACGGUAACAGGAAGCAGCUUGCUGCUUUGCUGACGAGUGGCGGACGGGUGAGUAAUGUCUGGGAAACUGCCCGAUGGAGGGGGAUAACUACUGGAAACGGUAGCUAAUACCGCAUAACGUCGCAAGACCAAAGAGGGGGACCUUCGGGCCUCUUGCCAUCGGAUGUGCCCAGAUGGGAUUAGCUAGUAGGUGGGGUAAAGGCUCACCUAGGCGACGAUCCCUAGCUGGUCUGAGAGGAUGACCAGCCACACUGGAACUGAGACACGGUCCAGACUCCUACGGGAGGCAGCAGUGGGGAAUAUUGCACAAUGGGCGCAAGCCUGAUGCAGCCAUGCCGCGUGUAUGAAGAAGGCCUUCGGGUUGUAAAGUACUUUCAGCGGGGAGGAAGGGAGUAAAGUUAAUACCUUUGCUCAUUGACGUUACCCGCAGAAGAAGCACCGGCUAACUCCGUGCCAGCAGCCGCGGUAAUACGGAGGGUGCAAGCGUUAAUCGGAAUUACUGGGCGUAAAGCGCACGCAGGCGGUUUGUUAAGUCAGAUGUGAAAUCCCCGGGCUCAACCUGGGAACUGCAUCUGAUACUGGCAAGCUUGAGUCUCGUAGAGGGGGGUAGAAUUCCAGGUGUAGCGGUGAAAUGCGUAGAGAUCUGGAGGAAUACCGGUGGCGAAGGCGGCCCCCUGGACGAAGACUGACGCUCAGGUGCGAAAGCGUGGGGAGCAAACAGGAUUAGAUACCCUGGUAGUCCACGCCGUAAACGAUGUCGACUUGGAGGUUGUGCCCUUGAGGCGUGGCUUCCGGAGCUAACGCGUUAAGUCGACCGCCUGGGGAGUACGGCCGCAAGGUUAAAACUCAAAUGAAUUGACGGGGGCCCGCACAAGCGGUGGAGCAUGUGGUUUAAUUCGAUGCAACGCGAAGAACCUUACCUGGUCUUGACAUCCACGGAAGUUUUCAGAGAUGAGAAUGUGCCUUCGGGAACCGUGAGACAGGUGCUGCAUGGCUGUCGUCAGCUCGUGUUGUGAAAUGUUGGGUUAAGUCCCGCAACGAGCGCAACCCUUAUCCUUUGUUGCCAGCGGUCCGGCCGGGAACUCAAAGGAGACUGCCAGUGAUAAACUGGAGGAAGGUGGGGAUGACGUCAAGUCAUCAUGGCCCUUACGACCAGGGCUACACACGUGCUACAAUGGCGCAUACAAAGAGAAGCGACCUCGCGAGAGCAAGCGGACCUCAUAAAGUGCGUCGUAGUCCGGAUUGGAGUCUGCAACUCGACUCCAUGAAGUCGGAAUCGCUAGUAAUCGUGGAUCAGAAUGCCACGGUGAAUACGUUCCCGGGCCUUGUACACACCGCCCGUCACACCAUGGGAGUGGGUUGCAAAAGAAGUAGGUAGCUUAACCUUCGGGAGGGCGCUUACCACUUUGUGAUUCAUGACUGGGGUGAAGUCGUAACAAGGUAACCGUAGGGGAACCUGCGGUUGGAUCACCUCCUU